rnacentral:rRNA from 1 species
AGUGAACGCUGGCGGCAGGCCUAACACAUGCAAGUCGAACGGCAGCACAGUAAUAGCUUGCUCUUAGGGGUGGCGAGUGGCGGACGCGUGCGGAAUACAGCGGAACCUCCAUUUUCGUGGGGGAUAACGUAGGGGAACUUACGCUAAUAACGCAUACGACCUACGGGUGAAAGCAGUGGAUCUUCGGACCUUGCGCGAUUGAAUGAGCGGAUGUCGGAUUAGUUAGUUGGCGGGGUAACGACCCACCAAGCCGACGAUCCGUAGCUGGUCUGAGAGGAUGAUCAGACACGCUGGAAGUGAGACACGGUCCACACUCCUACGGGAGGCCGCAGUGGGGAAUAUUGGACAAUGGGCGCAAGCCUGAUCCAGCCAUACCGCGUGGGUGGAGAAGGCCUUCGGGUGGGAAAGCCGUUGUGCUGGGAAAGAAAAGCAUCAGGUUAAGACCACGCUGUUCUGACGGUACCUAAAGAAUAAGCACCGGCUAACUUCGUG